AUGAGAAAGCACAUGAGAAGCUUUACUCGAUCUCCUAAAGACCGACAUUGCCGUAACGGCUUGGCGCAAAGGCCGAUGCGGCUGACAGGGUUUUCACCCUCUCACACACCUCUCGUGCAUUCUUCAUUUCCCGCCAAUUCGGCUUGGUAUCCUUUCCUUGUUUGUGGGUUCCGUGCCACUGACUUGAUUCGACAUCACACGUUCUCCUGCCGUGCGUCUUUGGCCUUGGCGGUAGGUAACGUCGUGCGCUCGGGCUGUGUCUCGUGGGUUAGCCAUUGCGGUGCCAACUGCCUGUGUGGCUAUGGCGGCGCCCAGUAA
rnacentral:rRNA from 1 species